CUUAGCCUCCAUCCCCACUUACUCCUCUCCCAGUCCUGGGUUGGAUCCAGUAGCCUAGAGACUGGACUUUUUUUGAGAUCUCUAGGACCCUUUUGCCUCCAGGUCUGAUCCUUUCUGCCCCUCAGUCCAGACCUGGAUCAGGCAGCUCUGCUCUCCACCACAAGAGGGGGCAGGUUCCUCCUGGAAGCCCAAGGACAGGGAUGGGGGUUCAUGAAGGAGGCCAGGAGAGGCACACUACCUUAAUCCGAUCCACCAUCUUCUCUGCCAAUGCGUCCAGACUGAGAGCGCCCCCUCCAGGAGGACUGGAGGAGCAGCAGCCAGUACAAACUCCUCAAGGCAAGAGCAGCCUUCAUCCAGAUCCAGAUGUUCACUAAAUGUGCACAAGGGUCACACCUCAGGGCACGAUGGGACCAUAGGGACAGAGGACUGCCUGGGAGAUUCAGGCAGAGAUAAUAAAGUUGAUCUGGAAAGUGA